GGACCGGAGUGGACGCAUCACUGGUGUUCGGGUUGUCAUGCCAAUGGCACUGCCCGGUAGCUAAAUGCGGAAGAGAUAAGUGCUGAAAGCAUCUAAGCACGAAACUUGCCCCGAGAUGAGUUCUCCCUGAGACUUAGAGUCUCCUGAAGGAACGUUGAAGACGACGACGUUGAUAGGCCGGGUGUGUAAGCGCAGCGAUGCGUUGAGCUAACCGGUACUAAUGAACCGUGAGGCUUAACCUUACAACGCCGAAG
rnacentral:rRNA from 1 species